rnacentral:lncRNA from 1 species
ACAGAUAAUAGAGAGAGAAAUGUAGGUAAAAUUGCAACCUUCACUCCCAGCUUCUCCCAACAAAGUUACCCAACGGGAGUGCCAUGACUUCAGGGUGCUGUGGUUGCAGGGUGUCUGCUUAGAGAGGCCAGUGGGACGGCUGAAACUGCCAUUGGAACUUGGUGCAGCUGCCACCGUGUGGCUUUAUGCUCUAUGACCACGUUGCUUCAUGGCGGAGUUCCCAGGCUCAAUUCAGAAAAGAGACUCCCAGCAUUGGACAAUUCACAGAAAACUACUCCAUGACCUGGAGGAUGGAGAGCCGCCCCAGACGUUUAGCCAUGUCCUCUGCAGUGUGGGAGCAUGAACGGAUUUCCAGAGAAAUGGCAGACCGUGGGAACCAUUUGCGCUUCAUUUUGAGAUGCAGACAACACAAACUCAUCCACCAAGCCUGCGUCCGUCUUCAAGAGGGAAGGGACCCAGGGCAGAGAAAAACACCCUGCAAAGUGCACAGCUCCACAACACAGUCCUUUCAGCAGUCCCAAGUAGGCUCCACACCCAUUUGCUCUAUUCAGGGGACCCUGAGGAUACAGACAAGCCUCCAAGUGGCCUCAAGGACUCUCUAA